UGGUGUUUUUAUUAUUAUUUAUGUCCUUUUUUUAAAAGUUUUUUCACCUGUAAGUCUGCAUGUGAUUGAUCUAUCUAAUCAUAUUAUCGUGGUGAAUUCUUACAGGAAACACACGAUUCUCAGCUCCUCUAAGCAUACAUACAAUUAUUAUUUUUUGUAUGUUGCUGUAUUAGAUAUUAGCCUAUUUAGUCCCCCAUAAUCCAAUUAAUUGGCCCAAAAAACAAUGAAAAUUAUUAAACUAUAGUGUUAACAAACGAAAAGGUCCAGUGCAUUUCAUAGCAUGCCUUUUACUUGGCUGUUUUCAUGGAUAUUCUUUUUAUUGAUUUGAGAAGUAUUUUGAUCUCAAGCCUAAGCAACAACAAUUGCUGUGGAGGGCAAUUAACAUUAUACUAUUUUCUUUAAAAACUAGAUAUAUUUAAAAUCGAAUAACGUCUCCUUUCUAUUUUUAUAUUAACAUAAUUUAUUCUACAAUACAAAAUAUAUUAAAAUAGCCCUUUUAGACUCGAGUAAAUUUUAGAUAAAACUUAAAUUAGUUAACCCUGAUAUAGUCUAUUUAAAAUGAAUUCGAACGGCGCUAAAAUUGGGGAACGGUCAAGAAUCCACAACAAGGUACUAAAAAUAAAUAAACAAAAUAUAUGUCUGGCCACGGAAUCACCAGGCUCCGGACCGUUCAACGAUCAAUUUUUUUGGCAGAGAGAGAUACGCCGAUGAGAGCGCAAUAUCGUGUAACAGACGAGGAAAAAGACUGCGAAGUCGAGCUCGAGGGUUUGAUUGUUGGACGGGCCGUGGUUUUACAUGUGCGGGCGGCUGGGGAUGAUAUUUUAUUUCUAAUUUCUAUUAUUUUAUAUUUAAAUAUCUGUUUGGCAGGUAGUAAGAAGUACUUAAAAGUGAGCUCCCUUAUUGUCGUUUCUUUAUCUCUUUAUUCUGUAGUUUUUGGCAGUUCUUUUUAUAAGCUGUUUUUUGUUCUGUUUUUGCUGUUGUUGUUGUUGCUGCUGUGUUGCUUUUUUUGUUGCUAAAUACGUUUUUUUGUCGUUAAUUUUCGUAAAUUAUACGACCAAGAUGGCAUUGUGGAGACCCUUUGAUGUGUCAGGUAACGAAGCUGAAGGGCCGGAACAUAACGAAUUUUUAAAUAAAGACCUACAUGUUCAAUCACAGCGGCUAAUAUUAAAUAUUUUUAAUUGCUUGAAAAGUGAAAUGCCUGAAGCCGCACAAAAUCAAAUUUUAACAAGAAUUUGUGAGCUUACUAAGCUGGCUCGUACCACCGUUUACAGUGUGAUAAAAGCAGGAAAUGUCAUUGAUAAUUCUGUAAAAUGAAAAAAAUUUGAUAAGAAAAAUUGAUGAUAGCGACAAAAAUGUUAUUCGUCGAUCUAUUUAUCAAUUUUAUAGUGAAAACAAAAUUCUAUCAUUAGAAGACAUCCAAAGAAAGCUACUAACGGAUUAUCCCGACUACAAAUAAAAAAGUCUUGCUACAUUAGGUUGUGUAUAGUAGAAUGUGGAUUUAAAUAUAAAAAGUUAGAUAAAAGGAUGGUUAUUAUGGAAUCUCCUCGAAUUGUAACAUGGCGACACGAAUAUUUAGAAAAAAUAAAGGAAAUAAAUACCCAUAGCGUUUACAUCAAAAAAUCUCAAAUAAUUCCACAAAAAAGGAUGAAAUUCUUAAAUUUAUGGAAAGCAAAAAUAUGAGCAUUCCACAAAAAGCCACACAGAAAAUUUUAUUAGAAUCCAUAAAAAAUGAACAUUUUAAAAAGAAUACGUUAUCGAUAAACUCUGUGAGACAAAUGGCCACACCGUAUUACGUCAGUAUUUUUAAUCCCAUAGAGAUGAUUUGGGCUACUUUAAAGGACCGAAUUAGAAAAUAUAAUCAAUCUCCAACGAACGAUACUUUCGUAUUAGAAACUAUAAGGGCAGUUGUAGAAGAAAUUAAUAAAACAUACAUAUGGACGAAUUGUGUUCGGAGUGUUAUUGAAAAAGAGAAUGAGUAUGGUAUUUUACUUCAUGUUAACCCUAUUAUUAUAAAUCCAAGUUUGGACUCCAAUUUCCGAAGAUUCAAACAGUGAUUUUUGAGUUUUUUUAUAAACAUUUUAAUUACUAAAUAUAAUGAAUAAUAAUAAGUUUAUAAAUCCUCGUAUAAAUCAUUUGAAUUACAUUAUCCAUACAUCGCUUAAUUUUACUGAAUAUAACUAGUUUUUAUCUAUACAGGGUACCUACCUAUUCAAAUUUAAGUUCAAUAUUAUGCUAUAACAAAACUACUAAAAAAAGUAUAUAAAAUAUUAGCUAAAUAAUUAAACAUGCGUAACAUUACAGGCAAUAACUAUCCUAAAAUAGAGUGAUUUAUGGCCAUAUGCACCGUUGUCUUUAACUUACUGAUUUUACAUGUAAAAUCGAAGGCUUAAGCGUAAAGCGGAGCUUAAAUACCACGGUGCAUAUGGCCAUUAAAAUUUUAAUAAAUAUAACCAAUUAAUGGAUUUUUAAAAUAUUUUAAGAAAUAAUAGCUCUCUAUUUUUUGCACGCCUAUGCUUUAUAAAGAAGAUGCCGCUUAUUCAUUGUGAUUUGGUUUUUUUGCUGUUCGAAUUCAUUUUAAAGGUGCGAAAACUAAUUUUUUUUUUAUAAAUAUAAAAAAAUUUCUUCAGUUAACUAUUAAAAUAAUAAAAUGAAUAACCCCGUUUCUUUUCAAGCCAUAUCAAUUUGCAAUACUCUUUUUGUAAUGUAACCAAAAUGCUUACUUAGCUUCAGCUUGUCUUCUAUUCAUGUAAAACAGGACUGUGUUGAUGAUUUUGACAAAUGUGUUUCUUGUUUCGAUAGAAUCCUUAACAUAUCGCCCUAAGUUAAAUUUGUGCUACUUCAAAAAAGGUAUAUGUGGAGAUUUCAAAGUAUUAAUUACAGGAAUGCCCUACAUGGUUAGAUUGCUAGAGAAAAAAUUUUAAAAUUCAACUGAUUAAAUUUCCUCAUGGUAAUAAUAAUUUGAAUUUUUAAGUAGGUAAAUUAAUAGUAUUGGUCUAAAAGCAUAUAAUAUAUCGAUGGUCAAGCGCACAAAUGUUGUAAGUGCCAAAUUGAAAUUAUCGAGAAUUAAACAAAAUAAAUUUAUGGUUUUAUAAGAUUAAAUUUAGCGCUUAUUUGUACAUAUUGGCCUGUAAUUUUUUUUUAACGAUAAGUGUCCUUUCCAGUAUAAAAAUGUUAGUUUCAUAAAUAUUCAAUAAGGGAAACUUUAAAAAAAAUUAAUUUUUAUUCACUUAACUCAUUUGUACAAACUGAAUAUACACAUUUCUUACAAAAACAAAUACAACUGUACAUUAUAGUAAAUGGGCAUUGAUAAACAUAAAUACUACCAAAUCCAAAAAAAUAAUAAUAUUGAGCAACUAGUAAUAAUAUUAUUAACAUAAAAAAAAUAUAAAUUAAUCCAUGUCUGAGUCUGAUGGAACGGUAUGGAUUGCUAAUUUUGCGGUAAACAAUACCGCAAAAAGUUGAAGGAAUGUUUUGAAUACAAUCAGUAUAGUCUUCUGGAAUAAUUUUUCUGCCAAGCAGAUAAAGAAGAUCUUUCUUUUUCUUUUCUGAUACUGCAAGUCGUGAUUUGUAUUUGCUUUUUAGUUCAGAAGAAUUCAAAUCAGUUUAUUGACCCGAGCGCCUUCUGUUAACUGUAAUAUCGAGUUAAAAAAAAAUCAGAACAUAGGUCAUAUUUAUAUUGUAUAAUAAAGGGUUUGCUCUUUUCCAAGCGUAUCCAUUUUAUACGCAUCCACGAAACUUUCUCUCCAUUAGUGUUUACGGAAGUGUUAAUAAUAACACCGUUAGUUAGUUGUUGUCAGAUUUUCGACUUGGUAGGGUUUUGGUUUUAUUCUAGCAGUAGAUAUUAGUAGACACCAUUCUCGUGUAUUAUAAAUGUUUUUGUGAGCUCUCGCUCGUUCGAUUGUGGAGUGCACGGAAUCUGCUUCCUGAUAAGAAUGACCAGAUUCCAUAAAUUUAAGGUCUAUUAUUUUAAGAUGAUCAAUUUUAUUAACUGCGUAAAGCAUCGCUGUAGUCACAAACUUGUUGCGAUUCUGACCACCAGCAGUAUCUGAAAAAGAUGAUGAAACUGCUCAACUGUAUUAGGCAAGCUUUGUAUGUACUUUAGAAGGCAUGUACCUAUUUCUGAGCUUCCUUUACUAGAGUCCAUAAAAUGAGAGAAUAUGCCGGAAUAUGCGUGUAAAUUCAGUUUAAUUUGUGUUUACCUACUUUUUUCUUCCAAUUUUGGUGUGUUUUAAUUUAAAGACUAUUAUUUUGUGUGUGUUUGUUACUACUAACGUAUUAAAGGUAAGAAAAUGUAGUAGUUUUUUUAAAAGGUAUCUUACAGUGCAAAUUAAUAAACCAAAAGUGCAACUCCAAAGAAACAAAGAAUUUACAUUAACUUUAUUUUUGAAGUUUUUUGAUUUUAUUCAUAUUGUCUGUUUUUUUUUUCAAAACAUGUAAAAAUAAGAACGAAUGGUUAUUCAAAUCAUUUAGUUAGUUUAUAGAUCUAUGUAAAAUAUUUAACUGUUUUGUAGAUGUCGCCAAAGAAAUUAGGUACGAAAGGGCAAAUAAUACAUAGCCAGGGAAGAGAAAUUAUUGCCAAUGUAGCAGAGUUUAUGCAUAAAGAGGCAGAAGAAGGAUUAACUAUUUCUUUAAAACGCUUUAGAGAACGUACGUUGGCUGCUACAAAAAUAUCGAAAGUUGCCUACCAAAAAUUAUUGAAGGAGUCGGCCAAUAUAAAAAAUAACCCCUCUUGUUCAUUCAGCAGUCCAAGAAAAAAGAAAUCACGUAUACUUGACAUUACUUCGACGCAACUUAAAGAAAUUAGGAGCAUAGUUAAUGAUUUUUAUAUAGUGGAAAAAAGAAGGCCUACUCUCAAGUUAAUCCUACAAAAGAUCAUUGACCGAUUUAUUAUUCAUGAGCCUAUGAGUAUACCUUAGCAAAACUACUAAAGAGCAUUGGAUUUAGAUGGAAGAAGACAGAUGAUAAUAGAAAUGCCUUGAUGGAAUCAUAUGACAUACGUUUGAAGAGAAUAAAAUACUUAAAACAAGUUACCGAAUUUAAAAAUCAAGGUAGAAAUAUAGUGUAUACUGACGAAACCUAUAUACACAGUAGUCAUACUUCUGACAAAGGUUGGUUUGACGAAAGCCUAAGCGGUAUACGAAAACCCAUUUCAAAAGGACAGCGAUUAAUCAUCGUUCAUGCUGGAGGAAAAAUGGUUUUGUUAAAGACGGUCUACUUAUAUUCCGCUCAGAUUCUAAAAGUGGCGAUUACCAUGACGACAUGAAUCAUGAAAAUUUCAUGAAAUGGGUGGAAACCCAAUUACUUCCGAAUUUGCCACCAAAUUCGGUCUUAGUUUUGGACAAUGCAUCAUACCAUAAUGUACAAGUAAAAAAGAAUGUUACCUCUCCCUAAGGAGCAUAAUUUAGAACAUGACGAGAAAAUGACAAAAACGGAACUUUAUGAAAUAGUUCUUCAAAAUAAAAGAUUUUAUCCGAUAAAGUGCAAACUUGACGAACUAAUGGAAAGUCACGGACACUCAACUUUGCGUUUGCCUCCAUACCACCCAGAAUUGAACCCCAUUGAAAAAAUCCGGGCCACUGUUAAAAACUGGGUAGCAAGCAGGAACAGAACUUUUAAGUUAGCAGAUGUAGAAGCUUUGACGAGGCAAAAAUUUGCAGAAGUAUCUGUCGAUGAUUGGAGAAACAUUUGUGACCAUGUCGACAAAAUUGAAGACAAAUAUAUAAAAGAUCAUAAUCUUUUUGAUGAAACUUUAGAUUCCCUAAAAUUUACGGUAAACACUGGCUCAUCAGAUGAAGAUUUGGAAACGAGUUCCGACGAAUCAAUUAUUAGCAAUGUGGACAUUUUGUCAGAUAGUGACUAAUUUAAUAAUAUGAAUAUGUAUUAUAUACCGUAAUAAUAUUAUGUAGUGUUUUUAUGAGCAGUAAAAUUUAUAUACCCUUA